GGUUCUGCCAGCCAAUGGGGGAGGCAGGAAGCUCCGCCGCAAGCUCAACCAAUGAGGCGGCUUCUAACUGCUUCGGCGUCUCUGUCUCCAGGAGCGGCGGGAAUCCUGGUCUCUCAGAGCAGCGGUUCGCGCAGGGGCGCGCGCCAGUUCAGACUGCAGCCCCCUUGGUGCUUGUGUCCUGCCUGCUGGCCAGGGCAGGGCUAGGGACAUCUGAUUGGCCUCGCUCUCAAGCUGUGACUGAGGUCUGGUAUCAGAGAGUUGAGAAUUUUUAGUCUUCAAUUCAGUGAAAACCAUGGAUCGUUGGCUCAGGACUGGGACAUCAGCAAAAUGUGGAACACACAGGGAUCAGCAGGAGCCCAGCGCAACCUCCCUUUCAGCUGAUUCAACUACUGCUGUUGGCCGUAGCAGUGCCAAGGCAGAGGGACCAUGCAUGAUUUACAAAUUCAACCUGGGACGCGUGUGACAGAGCAGGACACGGAAAGGGUGUAAAAAAAUUCAAGUAUGAUAAAAGCUACAUUGAACUUGGAUUUACAUGGACUGGGGAUGCUGAAUAUCCUCAGUCACAGUGUGUCCUAUGUGGUGAAGUUUUACCAAACAACGGUCUUAAACUGUCCCUUCUUCGCCAGCAUCUAGUUUCAAGUUUUUUCACUGACCACCUCCCCUUUGCACUGGUCAUCUUGCUUGGAAGAUACUGCCUGGCUUCAGCGAUUAGCCUACUUGGCAGACAUUUUUUCUUGCCUCAACGAGCUCAGUUUAGGCCUUCAGGGCUUAAGCACCACUAUUUUUGAAACACAAGACAAAAUCGAAUCCAUGAUAAAGAAACUACUAUUUUGGGAUAGCUGCUUAAAGAGAAAUAUGAUUAACUGCUUUCCAACAUUGCAAGAGUUUCUUGCAAAUGCUCCAUAAUGUCAACUUUCACACUCUCAUGUAACAGCAUAUUGUCAUUUGUUGCAACAACUUAGCAAACAACUUAGAAAAUAUUUCCCCAAAAUGGACAAUGCAAAUUCCUGGAUACGCAAUCCAUUUAAGGUGCCUCAGUCUCUCCCAAUCCCUCCUCUGCCAGUGCAUGAGCAGGAGAAGUUGUUAGAUCUCUCUUGUGACAGUGGUCUUAAAUUAGAGUUUGAAUGCAAACCUUUGGCAGACUUCUGGGUGCAAAGGAUGGAAGAUUACCCAUACCUGUCAUAACAAGCUGUCAAGUUUCUGAUGCCCUUCUCCACAACAUACCUUUGUGAGACUGGAUUCUCUGCCCUCAUGGUGACUGAGACAGAGUACCCUCAGAAAUUAAAUGCUGAAAAUGACUUGUGACUGAAGCUCUCUCCAAUUUUCCCUGCCAUCAGUGAUUUUUGUGAUAAAAAGCAAGGACAUCCAUCACACUGAUAGAAAGCCACAGGACGACUUCUGAAGCAAAUUUCCCUGGGUGCUGACUCCGAGAACCAACUGAUCUCUUUGCCCAGAAAAGGAUUUUCUUUACCAACAAGGUGUUUCCUGGCGCUUGCAAGUAGGGUGCUAGAGAUGAGCCCUGUAUCACUGUUGCUAGUACAUGGAGAACAUUGCUACAGCCUGUGAACUUCAUACUCCUCUGCAAACUGUGCAGUUUAGCCAGUAAGACAAACAAAAAAAAUGAGAACAGAUGACCAAGAGGGAAACCUGGGCCCAUGCCCAACUCAACACUUGGGCUGGUACACCAUUAGCCUAGGUUUGUUGUCUUCUGUUUUACACUUUGGUCCAGCUGUGGCCCAUCUGUUCUGCACUUGGUACAUGCCGUGUCCUGGCUGACAUCAGCAUAGCGGGCAGAGAGGUGAGCAAACCACGUGCAACACCUUGUAAACUGCCCCAAAUCCCACUGUGAGGACAGCUGCUAGUGGGUCAUUUGAUUUGCUCUAGCUCAGAUGGGUGGAAGGUGUAAGGAAAUGGUGUGGGAAGCUCUGUCUCUGCUACCCCUGGGGUGGCUAGCUCCAGUCACUAACUCUGUCCGACUCAGUCUCUGCCUCGGUCUGCUCUCCAUGCUGACAGGCGAGGCUGAUUCUCCGUUGCUGAACCAAGCCUGAGCAGAGGAACUAUUUGCAGAGUUCAGCAGUAGGGCUCGGCGUCCCCUGAAAGGAGAUGGAACAGUGUGACCAGGUGAGGGUAGUAGAGAGCAGGGAACAUUUUCCAUCAUGUCUCUGCUUUCCAGUCUUUACUCGCUCUUCUCAGGUCUGCUGCUUUAUAAAGCUGCUUGUUUUGUCUUACCUGAAAUUUGCUGCGGAGAGCAGCAGCAAAUCAUCACUGCCCAGGGUGGAUGAUGUCUUGCCAAGCCACAACAUUCAGCAGAGCUCUCACCCCAGCAAGAGGGUAAUGCACAGGAAGAUCUGGCUUUUAGAUGUGCAUAGCACCCACAAACCCUGUUGAAGUCAAUGGGCGCUGCGGGUGCUCAGCAUCUCUGCAAAUCAGGCCCUCUGUGGUUUGUGGGAUUGGCUAAUAAGUGAGUGUUCAUAACCACUGGGUGCAGAGCUAGUGCUGGAGUGUGCAAACUGCAGUCAACGCUGCAGGCACGUGUGGCCUCCCCUGGUUCCCCUAGUAAGCAGCUCUGGCAACAGCAUCCCCUCUGUCUCCUGAGAGAAGUGGCUGCCCACCAUCCCUCCUCUGACUUCUAGGGGGCAGCAGCUCCCCUUCAAUGCUGCAUUAAGUUCCACCAAAUAGGGUACAGCACCACAAAGAUAUAAAGAUAUUACUUUACUCACUUUGUGUCUCUAAUAUCCUAGGACCUACACAGCUACAACUACACUGCAUACAAGGAGGAGGAGGAGGAGCAGGCAAAGAUUGGGAAGAAGAGACAGGAGAUGGAGAGCUGGGCUGGGGUGAAGGGAAGCUGGAGACGGGAGGAAGGGGAAUUAACUAGUGCAGACCAGCAUGUCCAUGUAGUUAUGGAGGUGUGCAGUGACUGAGGCUGCAGAAGAUCUUGUGGAGGGACUGGCCUCCCUGAGACAAUUCACACAUCCUGACCAGCUCUGCCUCUGCCGGUUUUUCUCCCUUUAGUGUCUCGCCCACCUUAUCGCUACUUCCUACCUGGAGACCCAGGUGGCUAAGACUGAGGAAUGCAAUUCCUACUCCAGGGGAAGGAGACAUUCCAAGAUUAAAGGAAAGUCAGACUAGGAACCAGGACCUAGCAGUGAUCAAAUCAGUUUCUAAAUGAACCCAAAGCACAUCUCUGAAAGUCUCUUCCUGAUCCUUGCAUUCAGCUGGGAGCUGCAUUCCCAGAAUUGUGUUCUGCAAAAUGGUGGCCUCCUAAGUCACUUCAUUAUUUUGUUAAUUGUUGUUGACAGUUUAAUAACUUCUGAAGUUAUUUCAGCUUCAUAGCAACUGGAUGCCAUGACUAGAAUCCCCUUGUGCGCUACAGUUUCCCGGCGUUAUGGAGUCUUACCCUUUGAAGAGGAAGCUGCAGGUAAUGAGAAUGUCAAACAGGAGGAACUUCAGCAACAACACUCUGAUAGCCAAGAGAAGCAGGAUUUGUGAACAGACGGGCAGAGCUGAAACAGAUGGGAUCAUGUACCUGAUUAGGCCCUGGGGUGUCACACACAAGAAUUACCAAUGGUCCCUAUUGGGACUGUGUAUGGCCGCAGUGCCCAACAUUAUACACAAGAGGGUCACACAAACCUAAGCACAACCUUGUGUGUGCCAAACAGCUUCCACAUAUUUUAAUAAGAUUUAAAGUAACCUGUAUUGAUUUAUAUUUUAAGUUCUCUUGUUUCGUGUAUAUUUAGAUAGGUUGUUUCUAUGUAUGGUAUUGUCUACUUACACUCUUGUGUAAACUAAAAAGAUGUAAACAUGAUGUCAGAACGCUAAUAAAUCAGCCAUUAGUAUAUUGUGUUGAAG